GAAAAAGGAUCAGAUCAGGUCAGAGAAAAAACAAUGGUUAAAAAAAUAACUUGUCACUAGGGUAAGAAUAACAUGCAUAAUGCAUUUUUUAAUGUCCUGAUAAACUGAGCUGUAUAUUUGUUUCAUAACUCCCCAGCUUCCACAGCAAAAAUAGAGAACUGAUAAUUAUCACUAUUUUUAUUCUUUAUGGUUGCUCAGGGGGAAAAUUUUUAAAGGGGACAUUACUGGAAUAAGGUUACCCUUCUGUCACUCACAUUUGAUUACUCAUAGACUUUUCUAUUUGAAGACGCAUUAAGGAAAAUUUUCCUUGCAAACAAAUGUUGUCAAAUGAAUUGACCAACAUGCAUACCUGCCAAGUGCCCAGCAUCCUCAAGUACCUAUAGGACAUUAACUCCAGUAGCCUGUGUAGCAAAGUAGAAUAAAAAUAAAGUUACUGGGAAUUCAGGAUUGAUAAUAUCUCUGAUUUGUAUAUUUCUGCAGCAGUCAGUCUCUUUCAAAAUAUGGGAACAGCAAGUUAAAAUAAACUGUCUUAUUGGCAGAACAGAGUGUGAUCAUGAGAUACUAUUCAGCUUUUAUGCUGAUUCAUCAGCUCACAGUGAAACGAGCUUGCAUGAGAGCAUCCCAGGACCACUGAACAUUCAGAGGGCUGGAGGCAGAGAAAAACUUCCCCUACUCAAGAAAAAGAAGCUAUUUUUGUCAAGUUAAAUGAGCCUGAACCUGCAGAGCUGAAUUGGCAGAUGAAUAUUGCUAAUUGGUGCAGUUUCUUCGGUGCAGGAAAGAGUUUCCAAUCAGACCGGCAAUUCAUUGGCCACAUGAAGGUCUAUUUCUGGCAUCUCUUUCCACAGCACAGGCAGCCUUGCAGAAUGAAAAGUAUUUCUCCCACCUGCCCUGGCCUCUGCCCUGGCUCUGAAAGAGGCAGGCUGUGAAUGAUGGUUGUCAGUGUCUGGAGUUUUCACUGAAAAACAGUCCCCUGAAAUGGAAAGACACACAGAGGGGAGUGAUCUCAUCGCCACUGAUUUUUCCCAACUUUCAGUUUUGUAUCUCCAUGGUGGAACUCGAUACAGCAGCAUCCCUCAGUGGUUCCAGCCCAGAAGUGCAAGGGGAAGCCGGCUGCCUGUUCAUGAAUUCUGUAGCUCAAAAAGCAGAGGCCGAGAAAGCAAAAUUUCAAACCUUUGUCAGAAAGGGUGAGACCUUGCUCAGCACGAUAGCUGAGAACAGCUUCCUCCUUCAAUGCUGGUCUCUCUAUACUGACAGUUGACAGCUGAUGAUCCCACAUUCUCAGUCAUGCGAAUGACCUCACCUGAGCACCAGUUUGUAACGGAUGUUUAAGAGGAAAGCAAGGGAAUUAAAUGCUGCACAGGAAUUUGGCACUUCUGUAUAGAAAUAGAAAAACUAAAUGAAACUUAUAGUACCUUCCACUCAACUAAGAUUCUUGUGAAGCAAAGUAUAUCUGGGAAAAUAUAGUAAUAUGGUUAUUUUGUGUUCAUAGUGUGUGACUCUACUUAUAAGCACUUUUUAAUCAUUAUAAUCAAUCACUUUAAAGAUCUUAGAGGGAACUUAUUAAUCAAAAUUUAAGCCUUCUUUAAAAAAAAAAAACUUCCCAUAUACUAAUUUUGCACAGAAGCAAAAGAUUAGAUUGGGAUUCUGCCUGUUGUGGAGAGACAAAGACAAGAGUGCUCCAGAUUUCUGUGUUUGUGUUUUUACUUCAUACUUUCAAUGCGUCCGCAAGAAUAGACUUGUGUUUCUCUUCUUAAUACACAAUGGUUAGAGCUCACAGAAUGUAAGUAAGAGAUUCUUUGAAUUGCACAAUAAGCCAAGGAACUUUCCCAGCUACCGGGAGGCUGAGGUGGGAGGAUUGCUUGACCCCAGUGGGUGGAGAUUGCAGUGAGCAGAGAACACAUCACUGUCACUCUAGCUUGAGUCACAGAGCAGGACCUUGUCUCAAAAAGCAAACAAAAAGCUGGGUGCAGCAGCUCAUGCCUGUAAUCCCAGUGCUUUGGGAGGCUGAUGUGGGAGGAUCACUUCAGACCAGAAGUUCGAGGCCAGCCUGGCCAACAAGGUAAAACCCUGUCUCUACUGAAAAUACAAAAAAUUAGCCAGGUGUAGAGUGGCACAUGUCUGUAAUCCCAGCUACUCAUGAGGCUGAGGCACCAGGAUCACUUGAACUGAGAAGGCAAAGGGUGCAAAGAAACAAACAAACAAAACACACAAGCCAAGAAACUUGACCCCAGUGUUUGGGUCUAUCUCUAAAAAUUCUGACUGAAUAAGUUGCCCACUUUUCAGAUAGGUGCCCAAGCUCAUUUUGUGCUUCUCUAACAGAAUGCUGAGACUGGGUAAUUUAUUACAAAGAGAAAUGUAUUGGCUCACAGUUCUGGAGGCUGGAAAGUUCAAGACCAAAGUGCCAGCAUCUGGUGCAAGUGCAAGCGUCUGUGCUGCAUCCUCACAUGGUGGAAGGCAAGAAGGCAAGAUGGGGUGGAACUUGCCCUUUUAUAAGGUACCAGUUCCACCCAUGAAGGUAGAGCCCUAUGGCCUAACCACCUCUUAAGGGUCUUACCUCUUUAUACUCCUACAAUAAGAAUUAAAUUUCAGCAUGAGUUGUGGAAGGGACAAACAUUAAAAUGACAGCAAUAAGGGAGAGGACCCCUCUCAAGGAGAUGAGGGAAACAUUUACUAUUCACGUUUUCAACUCUACCUGGCCAGGAGAUUCCAACACUGCAGCUUCUGGUGACUAAAGAGCAACCUAAUAGAGAAACUACCAAGGAAAGCUAAGUGGUUUCCAAACAAGUUCUCUCAAGGUGACACCUGAUGUGGUUCUAAAAUAUCUCAGCUUUUGCAGGUUUUAAAAUAUGACUUGUCAAUUUCCCAGGCGUGGUCUGACUCUUGGGGCCAGAGUUGCAUUGAUGGCACUUGAGAGACUAAUACAUAAUCCAGAGCUCCAAAUGUACACUGUGAAAUAAAACUGCCAAGGUGAGCUAGAAAUGUUCUUUCUGCCUUCUCUCUUUGUAUAAAAGCCACAUGAAAAGAGGGUUUAUAGUUGGAAGCUGUUUGGUGAUCAUGGAAUGAAAGUGUGGGUGUGGAGGAGAAAAAAUGAUCUGCAAGGCUAAUAUCACUGAGCUGUAGUAAUCUGGCUCACCUGUCUUGACUGGAACAUGCCUGCCAAGCAUUCUGGUUGGGUUCCCUAGAAGCACAUGGACUCUGAGACAAGGAUUCACGUGAAAGUGAUUUUUCAGAAUGUAUUACCAGGAAAAACUGGUAGGUGAGUGGGGAAGUGGAACAGGAAUGGGAAGUGAGGUAAGCAAGGCUGAAUUACCAGGUGAAGUCUCCAGGAAGGUGAGUUUGGCUCAACCUCACAGGAGAGCUUUGAAGGUAGAGCAGUUCCCACAUCAAACUGUCCCAUUAGGGGUAAGAGAACUGGAGUACUUAUACUCCAGCACACAGAGCCACUGGAUAAGAGUCACCCAUGUGUGCAGAAAGCAGACUCUGGCAACCUUCACCCAAGUCGGCACUGGCCCAGGCACAGGACUCAAAGAGGUACAGGUGCUGGCUGUUGGAAGUGAAAGCAUAGUGGAAAACCAAGUGCACACAAUGGCAUGAAUCCGCGGGAUGCGCACUGACCUGUGGGGAUGCACCUUGAUGUGGUUGGCUGCCUCCCUGCUGGAAGGCCCCUGCAUCCUCCCCCAGACUGUUGUCGAUGCCCUGUCACAAGCCUUGUCUCAACCAACCUCCCAUCUUGAGCACCCGCUAAAGGCCAUUCCCUUCCUUAGCUUUGUCCUGGUCUCUGAACUUUGGCAUUCAUAGUCUAUAUCCACCCUUUUAUCAAAUAUAACUUAGGAUGACUUUGUUUACAUAUGGUUGAGCUUGGCUUUUGCAUGUCCACAUACUCUUAUUUUAUACUCCCAGUAAAACCUUAAUAUUACCCCAGGUACUUAUAGCUUACAUUGCAUAAAGAAAGAAGAAAGUAGGAAGAAAGGAAAUCAGGAAUUACAUAGAUAACAAGGCUGUGUAGUUAGCCACCCCCUCCCCAUGUGGGGCCUGAAUUACGUGAUUGAGGGUGAUCAGUCAUUUAACUUAAGAAGCUACAAUGUUUCAUGUAGCUUUCUUGUAGAACAGCUACAGACUCUAAAUAUUUCAUUUUUGACAUUGAUAGACUAGGAGAGGAAAUUAUCUCCAGGAAAAAUGCCAUGCAUGACCAGGGUUAAUGAUAUGGAACACACCCCACAAAGAUGCUUUGCCUUUGGGUACCAGGACUUCAAAUCCUACACAAUGAAGAUCAAAAAUGAAACCAAGAGAGAAAAGAAACAGUGCAGUUAGCAAAAAAAAAAAAAAAAAAAAAAAAAAAAAAAAAAAAAAAAAAAGCAGGGAUUCUUAAUCUUGAGGGUGCGUGAAAAUACUGUCGGAAGAGGAGGCAUUUCGAUCUGCAGCCCUGCCGUGCUGGGUUUCUGAGCUCUGCUGCUCUCUUUCUCUGGGUAACAGGAGACUUGAAGACAUCGCCCAGAAGGUAGAGCUUCAAAUCCUGUUCUAGGGCCCAGAAGCAGAGAUGCUGUGCUAGGGCCUGGGCAAAGCCAGACAAGAAGUGGUUCCUGCUAUCAGGCUGACUAACAUCUAUCAGAAAGAACAGAUCACGAUGAUGUGAUAUUUAUGUAGAGAAUUAUCAGACCUC
rnacentral:lncRNA from 10 species